GACGAACGCUGGCGGCAUGCUUAACACAUGUAAGUCGAACGGAAAGGCCCUGCUUUUGUGGGGUGCUCGAGUGGCGAACGGGUGAGUAACACGUGAGUAACCUGCCCUUGACUUUGGGAUAACUUCAGGAAACUGGGGCUAAUACCGGAUAGGAGCUCCUGCUGCAUGGUGGGGGUUGGAAAGUUUCGGCGGUUGGGGAUGGACUCGCGGCUUAUCAGCUUGUUGGUGGGGUAGUGGCUUACCAAGGCUUUGACGGGUAGCCGGCCUGAGAGGGUGACCGGCCACAUUGGGACUGAGAUACGGCCCAGACUCCUACGGGAGGCAGCAGUGGGGAAUAUUGCACAAUGGGCGGAAGCCUGAUGCAGCAACGCCGCGUGCGGGAUGACGGCCUUCGGGUUGUAAACCGCUUUCGCCUGUGACGAAGCGUGAGUGACGGUAAUGGGUAAAGAAGCACCGGCUAACUACGUG
rnacentral:rRNA from 1 species